rnacentral:rRNA from 1 species
GACGAACCGUGCGAACGUUGUUCGGAUUCACUGGGCUUAAAGGGCGCGUAGGCGGCUUGGCAAGCCCGGGGUGAAAGCCCCCAGCCCAACUGGGGAAGUGCCCCGGGGACUGCCAAGCUCGAGCGGGAUAGGGGCAGCUGGAACUUUCGGUGGAGCGGUGAAAUGCGUAGAUAUCGGAAGGAACGCCGGUGGCGAAAGCGAGCUGCUGGAUCCCCCCUGACGCUGAGGCGCGAAAGCGUGGGGAGCAAACAGG